AUGGUCUCCCUCGGGGUCCUCGGCGUCGUGUCCCAGGUCACCCUGGCGAUGCAGCCGCUGUUCAAGCGUUCGGUGACGUUCGUGAAGCGCGGCGACGCCGACUUGCCACCGCAGGUGGCCGCGUGGGGCCGCCUCCACGAGUUCGGCGACAUGACGUGGCUUCCGCAGGAGGGCCAGGUCCUGUACCGGCAGGACGACCGCGUCGACGUCUCGUCGCCGGGAGACGGGCUCAACGAUCUGCUCUUCUUCCGGUCCAGUCCCACGCGCGGGCUCGUCGCCGCCAGAGCCGCCGAGGAGCGGCUGCAGGAGAACGGCACCGACGCCGCCCGGUGCGCGGCGGUGCGUACCGACGUGGCGGCCGCCGAGCGGCAGGGAUACGGCUACACCAACGACGGCGUGUCCUUCACGGGGUACCCGGUGGUGGGGUACCAGCACCGCAUCCAGACGUUCGGGUCGUGCAUCGACAGCCCGGAGGACGGCCUCCGCUCCGCCUGCGCGUGGGACCCGCGCGUCCGAGGCCCCUUCUUCUACAACUCCGCCUUCAGCGUCGCGCUGUCCAGGGCGCCGGCGUUCGUCGCCGACAUGCAGCGGCUCCGGGACCUCGACCCGGGCGCGCUCUGCGCCGGCCUCGACGGCAGGGUGGGCGUGCUCAUUCGCUACGUCAGGGCGUCCUCGGCCUGCCUCGGCAAGGCGGAUGACUCGGUCGACUUCGACCUGAUCUACUACAGGAGCCGCUCCGCCGGCGGCAAGCCACGCGCGCACGCCGACGUGGUGGACGAGAUCGAGCAGAUGGCGCUGCGGAAGUACGGCGGCCUCCCGCACUGGGGCAAGAACCGCAACUCCGCCUUCGACGGCGCCAUCGCCAGGUACCCGAAGGCCGGCGAGUUCCUCAGGGUGAAGGAGAAGUACGACCCCGACGGGCUGUUCUCCAGCGAGUGGAGCGACCAGGUGCUCGGGGUCAAUGGUGGGAGCCCAAGCAUCGUCGGGAAGCGUUGCGCCAUCGAAGGGCUCUGCGUCUGCUCCGACGACUCACACUGCGCGCCGGAGCAGGGGUACUUCUGCCGGCCAGGGAAGGUGUACACAGAGGCCAGGGUUUGCUCCUUUUUACGCGCACAGUGA
rnacentral:rRNA from 1 species